rnacentral:rRNA from 1 species
UACGUAGGGUGCGAGCGUUAAUCGGAAUUACUGGGCGUAAAGCGUGCGCAGGCGGUUCGCUAAGACCGAUGUGAAAUCCCCGGGCUUAACCUGGGAACUGCAUUGGUGACUGGCGGGCUAGAGUAUGGCAGAGGGGGGUAGAAUUCCACGUGUAGCAGUGAAAUGCGUAGAGAUGUGGAGGAACACCGAUGGCGAAGGCAGCCCCCUGGGCCAAUACUGACGCUCAUGCACGAAAGCGUGGGGAGCAAACAGG